CCUCGCGGUAGCGUGCGGCUGUGCCGUCGACCCGUCGUCUCCUUUCUCCUCCACUCCUCGUCGCAGGCGGCAUAACGGAGCGCACGCACGCACGCAAUGGCCAUGGCCGCCCCGCCACCCACGGCUCUCUGCGCCCGCCGCUUCCGGCCCCACCACUUCGCAUACUCCUCCCCCGCCACGCUCCGCCUACCCACGGCCUCCUCCUCCUCACAGCUCCGGCGCCGCCGCCGGCUAGCCGUCUCCCCGCGCGCGGACGCGGCGACCGGGACGGGGGAUGUGGAGGCGCUCAGGGCCGGGGUGUCCGUGUACAAGCCGCGGUCCUACGACGUGCUCGUCACCGACGCGGCUCGCUCCCUCGCCUGCGCCAUCGACGACGGCAAGACCCGGCUCGAGAUCGAAUUCCCGCCUCUGCCAAGCAGCAUCUCUUCUUACAAGGGCUCCUCAGAUGAGUUCAUCGAUGCCAACAUCCAGCUUGCUCUCGUUGUUGCUAGGAAGCUCAAAGAGCUCAAGGGGACUAGGUCUUGUAUAUUGAUUUCAGGUGUUUCCUGAUCAACCUGAAAAACGUAGGGCAUCAGAGUUGUUCAAGACAGCUAUAGACACGAUUGAGGGUGUAACCAUCAGCUCCCUGGAUGAUGUACCCACUGACCCUGUCAACAGCUUCUUCAAAUCAAUAAGAAACACCCUGGAUUUUGACUUCUCAGAUGACAAUGAAGGUAGAUGGAAAUCUGAUGAACCACCAUCGUUAUAUAUCUUCAUCAACAGCAGCACGCGUGACCUUGCUUCUAUAGAGAAGUAUGUGGAAAAGUUCGCCACAUCUGUUCCAGCCCUUCUAUUCAAUCUCGAACUAGAUACAUUGCGUUCUGACCUGGGGCUUCUCGGGUUCCCCCCAAAAGAUCUGCACUACCGGUUCCUUUCUCAAUUCACCCCAGUAUUUUAUAUCAGACAGCGUGACUAUUCCAAAGUAUUCAUCUGUCUUACUUUUAUCCAUCUAGAAACAUCCUUGUGUUUAUAGCUUCUUGCACCAUCUAUGACUACUUUCCCUUAACCGUGUAGACAAUCGCAGUUGCUCCAUACAUAGUGAAUUAUAGUGGAGCUGUAUUCCGCCAAUACCCAGCCCCCUGGCAGGUCAUGCUGAAGCAGGCUGAUGGUUCCUAUGCAUGUGUCGCUGAGAGCGAAGCUCGGUUCACUUUGGGACAGGCGAAAGAAGAACUAUUGAGAGUUAUUGGUUUACAAGAAGAAGAGGGAAGCUCCCUUGAAUUUCUCAGAAGAGGAUACAAGAAUGCUACCUGGUGGGAAGAGAACGUUGAUCAGGAGACGUCGUCUGCCUGGCGAACUUGAGAUGCUAUACUUGCUGGAUGGAUGCUUUUCUAACCUGGAACUGGGAAUGGAUAAUUUGGCCAACGAGUGUCCAUGUCUUGUUGUAUGGAACUAAAAAAUCUGAAAUUACAGAAAGAGAAGUCCAUGUACAGCGUAAUAACAUUGCCUGUGAUGAUCGUAUUAUUAUUAUUGUUGUUAUUAUUAUGCGAGU